GAUGAACGCUGGCGGCGUGCUUAACACAUGCAAGUCGAACGGAAAGGCCCAAGCUUGCUUGGGUACUCGAGUGGCGAACGGGUGAGUAACACGUGGGGGAUCUGCCCUUCACUUCGGGAUAAGCCUGGGAAACUGGGUCUAAUACCGGAUAGGACCACAUUUUGGAUGGUGUGGUGGAAAGUUUUUCGGUGUGGGAUGAGCUCGCGGCCUAUCAGCUGGUUGGUGGGGUAAUGGGCUACGAAGGCGUCGACGGAUAGCCGGCCCGAGAGGGUGUACGGCCACAUUGGGACUGCGAUACGGAGCAGAAUCCUACGGGAGGCAGCAGUGGGGAAUAUUGCACAAUGGGGGCAAGCCUGAUGCAGCGACGCCGCGUGGGGGAUGCCGGCCUUCGGGUUGUAAACUCCUUUCGCUAGGGACGAAGAGCAAGUGACGGUACCUGGAGAAGAAGCACCGGCUAACUACGUG
rnacentral:rRNA from 1 species